rnacentral:rRNA from 1 species
AUUGAACGCUGGCGGCAGGCCUAACACAUGCAAGUCGAGCGGAUGAAGGGAGCUUGCUCCUGGAUUCAGCGGCGGACGGGUGAGUAAUGCCUAGGAAUCUGCCUGUUAGUGGGGGAUAACGUCCGGAAACGGGCGCUAAUACCGCAUACGUCCUGAGUGAGAAAGUGGGGGAUCUUCGGACCUCACGCUAUCAGAUGAGCCUAGGUCGGAUUAGCUAGUUGGUGGGGUAAAGGCCUACCAAGGCGACGAUCCGUAACUGGUCUGAGAGGAUGAUCAGUCACACUGGAACUGAGACACGGUCCAGACUCCUACGGGAGGCAGCAGUGGGGAAUAUUGGACAAUGGGCGAAAGCCUGAUCCAGCCAUGCCGCGUGUGUGAAGAAGGUCUUCGGAUUGUAAAGCACUUUAAGUUGGGAGGAAGGGAAGUAAGUUAAUACCUUGCUGUUUUGACGUUACCAACAGAAUAAGCACCGGCUAACUUCGUG